rnacentral:misc_RNA from 1 species
AAAAUGCGAUAACUAAUGUGAAUUGCAGAUUACGUGAAUCAUCAAGUCUCUGAAUGCAAAUUGCACCCUGUGGUAUUCCGCAGGGUCUACCUGUUUGAGCCUAUCACCCGUAGGGGACUUACUCUCCCCUACAAUAAUGGCCUUGUCCAUUGAGCGCAUUGCAACCUUGUGCCGCAAUGUGUUAGAUAGUGUUAUCUAUAGACUUUAUGGUUAGUUGAUCAUAAAUACUUGGAUGACAGCUAGAGUUUAUACUCAGCAAGGGUAAACAUCACUGUUCUCUUCGGAGAGCAGUUGUUGAGUUACCUAAGUAUUGAAAGGCCCAAAUCAGGCAAGAUUACCCGCUGAACUUAA